rnacentral:rRNA from 1 species
ACUACGGGUGGCAGCAGUGAGGAAUAUUGGUCAAUGGGCGGGAGCCUGAACCAGCCAAGUCGCGUGAGGGACGACGGUCCUAUGGAUUGUAAACCUCUUUUGUCGGGGAACAAAGGCGCCCACGGGUGGGCGGAUGAGUGUAUCCGAAGAAAAAGCAUCGGCUAACUCCGUGCCAGCAGCCGCGGUAAUACGGGGGAUGCGAGCGUUAUCCGGAUUUAUUGGGGUUAAAGGGUGCGUAGGCGGACAGUCAAGUCAGCGGUAAAAAUGCGGUGCGCAACGCCGUACCGCCGGUGAAACUGGGAGUCUUGAGUGGGCGAGAAGUAUGCGGAAUGCGGGGGGUAGCGGUGAAAUGCAUAGGUAUCACGCAGAACUCCGAUUGCGAAGGCAGCAUACCGGCGCCCUACUGACGCUGAGGCACGAAAGCGUGGGUAUCGAACAGGAUUAGAUACCCCUGUAGUC